GACGAACGCUGGCGGCGUGCCUAAUACAUGCAAGUAGAACGCAGUUGCGAACGGGUGAGUAACGCGUAGGUAACGGCCCCAUAGCGGGGGAUAACUAUUGGAAACGAUAGCUAAUACCGCAUACUGUGAGAUGGACCUGCGUGGUAUUAGCUAGUUGGUGAGGUAAAGGCUCACCAAGGCGACGAUCCAUAGCCGACCUGAGAGGGUGAACGGCCAAAACGGGACUGGGACACGGCCCAGGCUCCUACGGGGGGCAGGAGGUGGGAAACUUCGGCAAUGGGCGGAAGUCUGAACGAGCAACGCCGCGGGAGUGAAGAAAGGUUUCGGAACGGAAAACUCUGGUGGUAGGGGAGCGGUAACUAACCAGAAAGGGACGGCUAACUACGUGCCAGCAGCCGCGGUAAUUC
rnacentral:rRNA from 1 species